rnacentral:rRNA from 1 species
UACGUAGGGAGCAAGCGUUGUUCGGAUUUACUGGGCGUAAAGGGCGCGUAGGCGGCAAUUCAAGUCAGCUGUGAAUUCUCCGGGCUUAACUCGGAACGGUCAGCUGAUACUGCUUUGCUAGAGUGCGGAAGGGGCAAUCGGAAUUCUCGGUGUAGCGGUGAAAUGCGUAGAUAUCGAGAGGAACACCUGAGGUGAAGACGGGUUGCUGGGCCGACACUGACGCUGACAGCGCGAAAGCCAGGGGAGCAAACGGG